AGAACCUUACCAAGGCUUGACAUAUAGGGAAAAGUGGCAGAGAUGUCAUGUCCGCAAGGGCCCUAUACAGGUGGUGCAUGGUUGUCGUCAGCUCGUGUCGUGAGAUGUUGGGUUAAGUCCCCGCAACGAGCGCAACCCUCGUUCUGUGUUGCCAGCAUUUAGUUGGGGACUCACAGGAGACUGCCGGGGUUAACUCGGAGGAAGGUGGGGAUGACGUCAAAUCAUCAUGCCCCUUAUGUCUUGGGCUGCACGCAUGCUACAAUGGCCGGUACAGAGGGCUGCAAUACCGUAAGGUGGAGCGAAUCCCAAAAAGCCGGUCUCAGUUCGGAUUGAGGUCUGCAACUCGACCUCAUGAAGUUGGAGUUGCUAGUAAUCGUAGAUCAGCAACGCUACGGUGAAUACGUUCCCGGGGCUUGUACACACCGCCCGUCACGUCACGAAAGUCGGUAACACCCAAAGUCAGUG
rnacentral:rRNA from 1 species